UUUGUACUUUAACGUACUCCUACAUAUUUAACUCAAUGUACCUCUAAAUUGGGCAGUACAAUCUAAAGACCUUGGCAAAGCUAAAUUGCGAAGCUUUUGAGUUUCCGUCCAGCAGCGGGGGAGUGGUAGGGUGUUGAACUUCCAUGUUACGCCGCAAACAGGAAGUGGUUUAUUACAAGGGUGUACAUUGUUCAAUCUGCCCCUAAUUUCUCAUGCAGAAUAACAGUCCAUGCCUAAGGACAUACACAUGCGGAGAGUGAUUAUAUUACAGUCAUAGCGCCACCUGCUGGCAACAGGAAGUCAGCUUCAUGUGACAAACAUUAUCCGAUUAACAUGAAAUUGACAAUGUGGUCUAAACAUGAGUUAGAGCAGGGGUGUCAAACUCAACUUCACAUAAAAAGUUCAUAGACAUGCUUUUAUUUAAGAGAAAAGUAAAAUAUCUUUGACCGUAUUAUUGUAUGUCUUAUAAAGUCUUCUCACUCACAGUUUGGUCGACAUAAACCCCCAAAAAAAGUCUGUAAAA